UCGUUGAGCUCAAAUUUGUAUUUCUGAGAAAAAUGUUUCAAAUCUCAAAAGUUAAACUUUUUCAAUUGUUUGUCCAUAAUAAAAGUUGUAUUGCCAAAACUAAAAAUUCCUAUUAAGUUUUCAAAAGCUCAAUUUUGAGAUUCCGCGAUAGUAAAUGCUCUUUAAACUUUGCCAACCACAGCCAGAUGAUAAUAAUACAAAAAGGGCAUCGAUUUUGUUACUUUGAGCUCCAUUUGAAUUGGAAUGUCGAAUUUUCAAUUUAUUUAAAACUACAAAAAUGGCGGGAAUUAUAAUAAGGAGAGAUUUCCCAGACUUUUCGUUACUUUGCUUCAAAAUGUUUCAACUGAUGAAUAUGGAAUAUGCAAAUGGAAACUAUUUCUGUAUCUAUUUGGUACACUUGAAGCUCGUAAAUGCUGUGGUUAAUGAAAACUAUGGAGAGUAUAUUUUGCUUCCUAUAAGAAGCAUAGUUUCAUUAAGGUUUCCUGUCUUAUGGGAACUUUUGAUAUAGUGAUCCGAUCCGAAAUAUGUACUGCCUGCAAAAGAAAGGCGAACCUGUGCAGAGUUUGAAGACGAAAGCUUUAAAACUGAGGGACUAGCUCGCAGAGCAACAGAAAGAUGGACAUGGUUAUAUCAACUCGACUGUGGAUACUGGAAUAUAAAUAUUUUAUGGGCUCAGAGAUGAGAAAUUAAAUUUGUUGUUCAGGAAAAAUGUUGAAUGUAUAGGCUACGAUUUUUAAGAAUUAAUGUAUUCGCCUGUUUUCAUCACAUUUAAUAAUCAUUCAGCAUAAACUUA